rnacentral:rRNA from 1 species
AGUGAACGCUGGCGGUAGGCCUAACACAUGCAAGUCGAACGGCAGCACAGUAAGAGCUUGCUCUUACGGGUGGCGAGUGGCGGACGGGUGAGGAAUACAUCGGAAUCUACUUUUUCGUGGGGGAUAACGUAGGGAAACUUACGCUAAUACCGCAUACGACCUACGGGUGAAAGCAGGGGAUCUUCGGACCUUGCGCGAUUGAAUGAGCCGAUGUCGGAUUAGCUAGUUGGCGGGGUAAAGGCCCACCAAGGCGACGAUCCGUAGCUGGUCUGAGAGGAUGAUCAGCCACACUGGACCUGAGCCACGGUCCACACUCCUCCGGGAGGCAGCAGUGGGGAAUAUUGGACAAUGGGCGCAAGCCUGAUCCAGCCAUACCGCGUGGGUGAAGAAGGCCUUCGGGUUGUAAAGCCCUUUUGUUGGGAAAGAAAAGCAGCAGGUUAAUACCCCGCUGUUCUGACGGUACCCAAAGAAUAAGCACCGGCUAACUUCGUG